rnacentral:tRNA from 1 species
GCCUGGGUGGCUCAGUUGGUUGAGUGUCUGACUUCGGCUCAGGUUAUGAUCUCACAGUUUGUGAGUUUGAGCCCCACGUUGGGCU